CUACGGGCGGCUGCAGUGAGGAAUAUUGCACAAUGGGGGGAACCCUGAUGCAGCAACGCCGCGUGGAGGAUGACGCAUUUCGGUGUGUAAACUCCUUUUAUAUGUCAAGAAAAUGACGGUAGCAUAUGAAUAAGCACCGGCUAACUCCGUGCCAGCAGCCGCGGUAAUACGGAGGGUGCAAGCGUUACUCGGAAUCACUGGGCGUAAAGGACGCGUAGGCGGGUUGGAAAGUCAGGUGUGAAAUCCUACAGCUUAACUGGAGAACUGCACUUGAAACUUCUAAUCUAGAGUAUGGGAGGGGGAGAUGGAAUUAGUGGUGUAUGGGUAAAAUCCGUAGAUAUCACUAGGAAUACCUAAAGCGAAGGCGAUCUCCUGGAACAUUACUGACGCUAAGGCGUGAAAGCGUGGGGAGCAAACAGGAUUAGAUACCCGCGUAGUC
rnacentral:rRNA from 1 species